CAAUCAACAGCAUGGUGCUCCAGGAUUACUUUAACAUGUUUUUCCUGGAAUGAGGAUGCACCAACAAUUCAUACCCUGCAGGUAUGGCUGCAACACCUGAUGAGGUGCUGACUGUAAUCAGAAAUAAUCAAGACUUACUUUGGAAAAAUCUUAUUACAUUUGAGCCAGGACUGGAGCUGAUACUCAAAGAUAUUUCCAUUUCAAAUAGAUAUUUUUGGUUGCUAGUAGUUUUAUGAUCUUAACUUCCAUGCUGCAAUCUGGCUUAUGUGGAUAUAUGUACAUUUGUCUCAGUGCAGGAACAUGUGCUUAGAAUGCAGUUUGCAAAUCAUGAUAUCUCACUCUGUGGCGUGCCAGGAUCAAGAUUUGCUCAUUACCCAAAACCUGGCACUUGGGUUUUCAGAGGACUUGAGGUGCUUCUUGUGCACCCUCAAACUUCCAUUACAGAAAUCAAUUGCCAGUUGUCCAAGUGCCUUUGUGGAUCUUCAUCUGGUCUUUGAAGCAAAGCAUCGCAAUCUGGUUAAGGACAACUUGCAAAUUGGGACUUCUCAGUACGUAAAGAUCAAAGUCCAUUGAAUCCAACUCCAUGUAAUCUGAAGAAACACUGAAUUUCUGAAGCCUUUGACAGAUGUAGUCUGAGGCUUAUAUAUUGAAGCCAGAAAGCCCCUUUAUUUGAAAAGAAACUUCCUUUUCCCCUUUCUCUAAUCUGCUUUCACUGUAAGUUGCUGUUGCCAGCAACUGAGCUGAAAACUGUCCCAUUUGUCUGCACCGAAUUAUGAUGAUUUAGAUGCGUGAGUGCAAUGGAUUUUUGUGCUGAAUCUUUAUUUGGAAGAGAUGUCUAAAUGUAGUCCAGUAUUAGCAAUCUAAGACUGAGUGAAAGACAGUUUCUUCUAGGUUUUUUGUCUUUCUUGGUUGACAUAAGCCUCUCCCUACUGAAAAUCCCCUCUCAGUUUGAGCUGUGCAUCUGGUAUUUAGGCACCUGGCCCUCCCCAGUUAGCAUAAAGGGAAUUUGGGGAUUUGACUCAGCAUCUGAUUUCCAUACCAGGAACCUCUUGCUUUUAAUUUGGAUGUUACUUCAAGAAAGUCGAAGUGCCGUAUAGGCCUAACAUUUUUCUGAAGUUAAUCUUUCCAUCCAAAUAAUAAACUGUACACUUGCUCCCUCUUCACCAUCCUUUUAGAAAAAUAUAAGUCAGGUGACAAACAUGUGAUUGCAUACAGACAUGAUUGAACUGUUGAAUAUAUGUUGAAUAUAUGCAUUUUUUUCAGUUGAUUUAAAAACACAAAUAGUUGUCCAGGCAGGAGUAGGCCCGAAAGGAGAUCACGUAUAAUCACAAUAACACUUCUGGGGCAUGAAAAUAAAAGCCAUCCCAACAUUGGCAGUAUCACUUGUCAAAACCGUAAAUCUAGUUUGUUAGAUGUCAACUUUGAAAGCUAUUUCUUAUUGUUUACAAAGUCAUGAUGUUGAUUCAUUCUUAUAAAGCCUUCAUUUUUAGUAGCACUAUUCAAACCUUUUGGUUUGUAGAUGGCUUUUGCCAAGGCUUGUACCUUCUUUUGAGGGACAGUCUAAUUUUGGUGUACUGCUGGCAAAGCAAUUGCCACUCUGGUAUUUUUGUAUGUUUUGAAGAUUGGAAUUGUGUAUUGGGCAAUUCCUCAUUGGGAAGGUCAGACUGGAUUUUUUUACACUUUGGCCUGAGUUUGGAUGAUUCUACAGGAAUUAAAGCUCACACGAGCACUGUUCUGUAAAGUCAGGCUUGUCCUCCUGCCUGAGCAGUCCCCUCAUAUUGAAAUUCACCCUUCAAAAAAGGCGUUGGUUUGACUGAUGUUAUGAUAAAGCGCUUAGUUGCGAUGACUCAAUUUUUUGAAAGAUCAUUGAAAAAUUGGCAGAAAAGGGCAAAAAGAUCCACAGAAUGGCCUUGGGGCUGUGGAAAAUGCAUUAUAGUAAGAGACCUCAGGAACACAAUCUGUGUGGUCCAUCAAAAAAGGAGAUUAAGGUGACUUGAUCUGUCUAAGUGACUUCCUGAUAAGGAUAUAUUGGCUCCUAAAGUUGUCUUAAUAAAGUAAAAAAGGAGAGAAAGAACCGAUAGUGGGGAGCUGAAGCAAUAAAAAUUCAAACAUGAAUUAGACCUAAUUUUUUUUAUAGACGAAUGUGGUUAACCGCUAGAGUAAGUGUCGGCUUCUAUCGAUGUCUUCCUAGCACUACUGAAAAAUCUGUUUUUAAAGAAUACUUUGUCCAAAAUGUAAUUAUUCUGCAGUCAUGUAUAAUCUGUUAGGCUCUAUGUAACAGCAGCUGGAAAAAAUACAGUAUACAGGAUUUUGUUGGAGGACUUGGUGGUCAUUUGUGCCAGUAAAAGUAUGCAAUUUAUUAAAGGAAUUAUGUUUAUUCUGGGUCAGGCCUAAGAUCUAAAUCUCCCUUCCCCAGACAGGCUGAGGGACACACAGAAUCCAUGAGAAGUGAGGAAAUAAAACAACUUCUCCAUUAGCGCGGGGGGUUAUUUUGAACCGACCUGUUGGAACAGUGCUGGGUGGCAAAAGUAUGAAGUUUAGCUGUGAUGUAAUUUCUAGGUGAGAGACGUGCUGGAAACAGAUUUGAUCCAUGAAAUGUUGAAAUACAAAAGCUGACAAGUUUCUCCCUUGCUAUGCUCUGGCCUUAAGAAAUAGACCCACUUUCAAAGAGGGCUUUAAAUUCUCUUGAACUGCUUUCAAGGAGACAGAGGCAUAAUGCAAGUUAACAUCUUGCUUUUACCAGCAUGUUACAGCUUUUGGAGUCUGUGCUAUAGCUUACAAGUCCUAGAAGCUGACUGACUGCCUCUGUGCUUGUGUAUUUCAU